GACGAACGCUGGCGGCGUGCCUAAUACAUGCAAGUCGAGCGGAUGACAGAGGAGCUUGCUCCUCUAGAUUCAGCGGCGGACGGGUGAGUAACACGUGGGCAACCUGCCCUGUAGAUUGGGAUAACUCCGGGAAACCGGGGCUAAUACCGAAUAAUCCUUCGGACCUCAUGGUCCGAUGUUGAAAGACGGCUUCGGCUGUCACUACAGGAUGGGCCCGCGGCGCAUUAGCUAGGUGGUGAGGUAACGGCUCACCAAGGCCACGAUGCGUAGCCGACCUGAGAGGGUGAUCGGCCACACUGGGACUGAGACACGGCCCAGACUCCUACGGGAGGCAGCAGUAGGGAAUCUUCCACAAUGGACGAAAGUCUGAUGGAGCAACGCCGCGUGAGUGAAGAAGGUUCUCGGAUCGUAAAACUCUGUUGUGAGGGAAGAACAAGUACCGGAGUAACUGCCGGUACCUUGACGGUACCUCAUUAGAAAGCCACGGCUAACUACGUGCCAGCCGCCGCCGUAAAAC
rnacentral:rRNA from 1 species